CUGUCACUCUUUAAGCAAAAUAAACAGAUUUUUGAGCAUCAUCUCUUUUUUGGAUCAUCAUUUUGCAAGUGGAGAUUGUGCUUUUUUUUCUGAAGCUUUGGUAGUGUAACUGUAAGAGUCCUGGAAUUGGAAAAGCAAAUCCAGAAGUUGAGUUCCAUGACUUUUUUGCUGUUUGCCUUUGGACUUGCAUCAUUUAUAUUUUUAAUUCAUCGAGGAUGAGAAAAUUGAUUAACACAAAAUCUUUUCAUGUCUUUUCUGAUGAGAGACUAGCUGAAUCCAAGAAGAGAAGCCCUUGAAGAGUGUAUUCUAUUCUAGACAAGCAUUCACACAUUGGCUUCUUUGGUGCCAGCAUGUUUCUGAUCAGCAUGAAAACUGCGCAGGAGCUUUUCUGUCUUGCAGAGCUAGUUAAUGAGAUUGUUGCUGCCUUCAGAUUCUAUAAAGGACUUCUCCAAUAUUGGAUUAAAGAAUGAAGAAAGGAUCAAAUUGAGACAUCCAGGGGGGAAGAGUUCCCUGGCAAAACUCCAAUCUGCCUGAGCACUGAGGUGGAGCCACAGAAGUCCGGGUCAUUUGCACCUGGGAGGAGCCUGGCCCCUCCUCUUCCUGUGUGGAAUCUGGGAUUUAAUCUGUGAGGAGGGAAGGCCAAGGGCAGGAAGCACAGGCUCUCACUUCACUAAGAGUCUCUGUUUCCCCUUUUUUUCCUUUAUGCCUAAUUAAUAAAUCCCAUUUUUCUCACUCU
rnacentral:lncRNA from 1 species